AGGGAAUCUUCCACAAUGGACGCAAGUCUGAUGGAGCAACGCCGCGUGAGUGAAGAAGGUUUUCGGACCGUAAAGCUCUGUUGUUGGUGAAGAAGGAUAGAGGUAGUAACUGGCCUUUAUUUGACGGUAAUCAACCAGAAAGUCACGGCUAACUACGUGCCAGCAGCCGCGGUAAUACGUAGGUGGCAAGCGUUGUCCGGAUUUAUUGGGCGUAAAGCGAGCGCAGGCGGAAGAAUAAGUCUGAUGUGAAAGCCCUCGGCUUAACCGAGGAAUUGCAUCGGAAACUGUUUUCUUGAGUGCAGAAGAGGAGAGUAGAACUCCAUGUGUAGCGGUGGAAUGCGUAGAUAUAUGGAAGAAUACCAGUGGCGAAGGCGGCUCUCUGGUCUGCAACUGACGCUGAGGCUCGAAAGCAUGGGUAGCGAACAGGAUUAGAUACCCUGGUAGUCCAUGCCGUAAACGAUGAGUGCUAAGUGUUGGGAGGCUUCCGCCUCUCAGUGCUGCAGCUAACGCAUUAAGCACUCCG
rnacentral:rRNA from 1 species